GUCUAUGGCCAUGCCACCCUGAUGUGCCUGAUUUCAUUAGAUCUUGGAAGCUAAGCAGGGUCGGGCCUGGUUAGUACUUGGAUGGGAGACCAUCUAGGAAUACCAGGUGCUGUAGGCA
rnacentral:rRNA from 1 species